AGUGAACGCUGGCGGUAGGCCUAACACAUGCAAGUCGAACGGCAGCACAGUAAGAGCUUGCUCUUACGGGUGGCGAGUGGCGGACGGGUGAGGAAUACAUCGGAAUCUACUUUUUCGUGGGGGAUAACGUAGGGAAACUUGCGCUAAUACCGCAUACGACCUACGGGUGAAAGCAGGGGAUCUUCGGACCUUGCGCGAUUGAAUGAGCCGAUGUCGGAUUAGCUAGUUGGCGGGGUAAAGGCCCACCAAGGCGACGAUCCGUAGCUGGUCUGAGAGGAUGAUCAGCCACACUGGAACUGAGACACGGUCCAGACUCCUACGGGAGGCAGCAGUGGGGAAUAUUGGACAAUGGGCGCAAGCCUGAUCCAGCCAUACCGCGUGGGUGAAGAAGGCCUUCGGGUUGUAAAGCCCCUUUGUUGGGAAAGAAAAGCAGCAGGUUAAUACCCCGCUGUUCUGACGGUACCCAAAGAAUAAGCACCGGCUAACUUCGUG
rnacentral:rRNA from 1 species